UGGGGGAUAUUGCACAAUGGAGGAAACUCUGAUGCAGCGACGCCGCGUGAGGGAAGACGGUCUUCGGAUUGUAAACCUCUGUCUUUAGGGACGAAAAAAUGACGGUACCUAAGGAGGAAGCCACGGCUAACUACGUGCCAGCAGCCGCGGUAAUACGUAGGUGGCAAGCGUUGUCCGGAAUUACUGGGUGUAAAGGGAGCGUAGGCGGGGAGACAAGUUGAAUGUUUAAACUAUCGGCUUAACUGAUAGUCGCGUUCAAAACUAUCACUCUUGAGUGCAGUAGAGGUAGGCGGAAUUCCUAGUGUAGCGGUGAAAUGCGUAGAUAUUAGGAGGAACACCAGUGGCGAAGGCGGCCUACUGGGCUGUAACUGACGCUGAGGCUCGAAAGCGUGGGUAGCAAACA
rnacentral:rRNA from 1 species